UGUUAAACUCACUGAAAAAAAAAAGAAAAAAAAGUACUUCUGAAAAACUGAGAAGGAAUGUGUCCGUAUACAUAUGGAAAAUGCAAAAAUGUUAACCUUCAUGCUGUAGGGAUAAGUGUGGGCACUUGCAUCUCUGAAUUUGCAGGACAAGAGCCAGUUCAGGACUGAUAUGCACGCAAGCCUGCUCGUGAAAUAUGAGCUACAUAAUACUACAUCCCAGCAAAAUUCGUUGUCUUAAACUCAGUGCUCUGUUAAUAGGCUUCGUGGUUUGUUAGGCUUAGGAGAUGAAUACGGCAGAUGUGAAACCAUGUGUAAUGUAGACACGUCCACAUGUUUGUCUACAGAUGUAAGAGGAGUAGUGGACUUAGUUUCCUUUAUUUAUUUAUCUUUUUAAACUUUGUUUCACACCUUUUUGUCUUGUACCUCUCUCAUAUCUCUGUUGCGAGACCAGAGUGAUCAGCAGAGGAUGCUGCCAGCCCACAGGCAUGGUAACAAAGGGCAGAGAGGAUCCUGAGCAGCCACGCAGCUGAAGUGAAUGCAUAAGGAAUACGGUUUAGCCUGGCUAUGAAGACAAAACUACAAAAAAGUACAAAUGAAACAAUAGACUUCUUCUUUUAUUUACAGCAAUUUUGAAAACCUACUUGUUACAGCAGCCUCUACUCUCCCAGUAUUUUCAGCCUUCACUCUUGUUUGCCACUGCUGUUGUCUGUGAUCUUUCCUUGCUGGUGUUCUCUGAUUUGGGGCAUACAAAAUUCUCAUGCUGGUCUCUUCAGAAGCACCCAGUAAUAGUGAACUUGUCAGGACAAACUCGCACGCCGCUCAUUCCAUAUAAUAUGAAAUCAAGUAGCUGUUGAGGCAUGUUGGACAGAUAUCUGCAAAAGUAAUGAUAUCUGAAGAUCCACAACAAAAAGGAAAAAAUUUGGAAGGCUUUCAGUCAGCUCGCAGCAGCUGCAAGUGUUGCUUUGGAGAAAAUAACAAACCCAUCCAAGUGUCUCUCUCAGCACAGUCUCACCAAGUUAUACAGAUCACAGAUCACAGAAUGGUUUGGGUUGGAAGGGACCUCAAAGAUCAUCUAGUUCCAACCCCCUGCCAUUGACAGGGAUGCCUACCACUAGAUCAGUCACUAGACCAGGCUGCCCAGGACCGCAUCCCACAUGGCCUUGGACACCUCCAGGAAUGGAGUUGUCAAAAUUUGUAUUUGGCUUCUCAUUUGGAUAUAUUCCCAAAAAGGGAAUUGGAACAAUCAGCUAGAAUUGAGUCAGUAAGUCAUCCAGACUUACUGAUUGAAGGCAUAUUAAUGAGCCAUACAUUAGGAACAUCAGCACCAUCCACAUGCCACAUGUUAGCUGAAGGAAGUGAUUCUGGGCUGUCCAUACAGUGAAGGAUGAAACAUCAUCACAUGCCUUUUGCACAUAGGUGUUCUGGAGCUGAGGCGUUAGUGCUUAUGACUAGUUGCAUGCAAAUACAUGCCCUCUGUUUUGUGUAUUACACUGCAUCAACAAGACACCCGAGUCUGAUGAAGAGUCUUCCUGGAGAUCACAGGCGCUGCUGUGACUGAUAUCCCGCCAGACUGGAAGCCCAGCCCUGCCUCGCCGUUCCUGCAGCGGUCACCUUAGGAGAAAACUCUGCAGCGACAGCGAACAUUCACGGCUCGGCAGUGCCGCUCGCGGGGCUGUGGCGACCUCUCGUGGUAAACACCCGACCAGCAAACCCUGUCCCCUGCUGUACGGCAGCACCUUGCCCCUGCUGAGCGGGGUGGGAGAGAGAGAAUUAACACGAAUUAGCAAGAAGAAAUAAGCAAUGCAAUGACUAGCGCUUGAUGUCAGUGCUGGUAAAAUCAUACAGCGUGAAAAUCCAUGCUUUUUGAAGUAAUUGGUGCCUAUAUUCAUUGUGCAUAUAUAUUUUUCCAUGACAUACAGUUCAGAAGAGAUUUUACAUACCCAUGGCCUGAAAAGGGGUCUGCUCUUUGAACCUUCCUUAGAUAGCAAUCCUGCAACUUUUCAUGUCUUUUUGCAAUACUGCUUUUGUGGAGGUAAAAAUAUAUGUGGUUUUAUGCCUGCAUCGUUCAGUAUCUUAGGGUUUCUUCAUUGCAUUGUUCCCUUCCCUUCUCUUCUCUUCCCUUCCCUUCUCUUGCCUUGUGUUUUUUUUACCCAUGAAAUACCUAAGCCCUGAGUUUGAAACACAGUGCAUGGAAUACUUAAUUCAAGUAAAAUUAUUAUUAAUAUUUUGAAUUAUGAUUCUUUUUUUCCCUGGGUAUAAACCUUUUUAGCCAUGACCUUUACAAUCCCUAAGGCAAUCUGAAUAUGAUAUCGCCUAAAAUGUACAUUCGCAUACUAAUCAUGGAGUUUUAAUUAAAAAAACCUCAAAAGAUAUGUCAUGGAAAUAUCACAAUGUGUGAUUCUUCAAGGCUGAUAGCUCAGGCUCCUGUUUAGGCUUUCCAGUAAAGAAAGAAAGGGACUCUCGACAUUCUGUUUUGAAUGCUCUUUGUGAAUGUA